AAGUGGUACAGGGGACACAACAAGGGUGACUAAGAGGGGGUCUGGUGGAGGUCUUCAAGUGGUACAGGGGACAUGACAAGGGUGACUAAGAGGGGGUCUGGUGGAGGUCUUCAAGUGGUACAGGGGACACAACAAGGGUGACUAAGAGGGGGUCUGGUGGAGGUCUUCAAGUGGUACAGGGGACACAACAAGGGUGACUAAGAGGGGGUCUGGUGGAGGUCUUCAAGUGGUACAGGGGACAUGACGAGUAACAAAAUCUCUCUCUCUCUCUCUCUCUCUCUCUCUCUCUCUCUCUCUCUCUCACACACACACACACACACACACACACACAA